rnacentral:rRNA from 1 species
GCCGGCGAGCGGCGGACGGGUGAGUAAUGCCUAGGAAUCUGCCUGGUAGUGGGGGAUAACUCGGGGAAACUUGAGCUAAUACCGCAUACGUCCUACGGGAGAAAGCGGGGGAUCUUCGGACCUCGCGCUACCAGAUGAGCCUAGGUCGGAUUAGCUAGUUGGUGAGGUAAAGGCUCACCAAGGCGACGAUCCGUAGCUGGUCUGAGAGGAUGAUCAGCCACACUGGAACUGAGACACGGUCCAGACUCCUACGGGAGGCAGCAGUGGGGAAUAUUGGACAAUGGGCGAAAGCCUGAUCCAGCCAUGCCGCGUGUGUGAAGAAGGUCUUCGGAUUGUAAAGCACUUUAAGUUGGGAGGAAGGGCAGUAAGCUAAUACCUUGCUGUUUUGACGUUACCGACAGAAUAAGCACCGGCUAACUUCGUGCCAGCAGCCGCGGUAAUACGAAGGGUGCAAGCGUUAAUCGGAAUUACUGGGCGUAAAGCGCGCGUAGGUGGUUCGUUAAGUUGGAUGUGAAAGCCCCGGGCUCAACCUGGGAACUGCAUCCAAAACUGGCGAGCUAGAGUAUGGCAGAGGGUGGUGGAAUUUCCUGUGUAGCGGUGAAAUGCGUAGAUAUAGGAAGGAACACCAGUGGCGAAGGCGACCACCUGGGCUAAUACUGACACUGAGGUGCGAAAGCGUGGGGAGCACACAGGAUUAGAUACCCUGGUAGUCCACGCCGUAAACGAUGUCGACUUGGAGGUUGUGCCCUUGAGGCGUGGCUUCCGGAGCUAACGCGUUAAGUCGACCGCCUGGGGAGUACG